UACGUAGGGUGCGAGCGUUUGUCCGGAAUUAUUGGGCGUAAAGAGCUUGUAGGCGGUUUGUCGCGUCUGCUGUGAAAAUCCGGGGCUCAACCCCGGACUUGCAGUGGGUACGGGCAGACUAGAGUGUGGUAGGGGAGACUGGAAUUCCUGGUGUAGCGGUGAAAUGCGCAGAGUAAUCAGGAGGAACACCGAUGGCGAAGGCAGGUCUCUGGGCCACUACUGACGCUGAGAAGCGAAGCGUGGGGAGCGAACAGG
rnacentral:rRNA from 1 species